rnacentral:lncRNA from 1 species
AAGUCCUGUUGGUGGUUGCUAUGGCCAGUCUGACCUCAAUCUCCGUGGUUUUGGGGACUUAGCAGUCUUUUUUUCUUAUUGAGGAGCAUGUACCUUGAUUUAUGUCCAAAAUCGUGGCUGAACGUCUUUGUCUGCAAGUGAUAAAUGGUGCCGAGCAAUUCAUCAGUUCUUACAAGUAAACACUGCUGUCCCACUAAAAAUAUGUUUUGUUCUGAGUUAAUGGUAUGGAACAAGGCAGCCUCCACAAACAGCUAUCUUUUAUUGUGGAGGGGCCACUGAAACUUGGAGCAAAGUGGAGGAGAUUGGCAUUCAUUUUCUUGUACAUUAGCAUUUCAUUUGUGAUUCGGAUGAUGCAGCUCUAGGUGGAUUGACUAUGAAAGGCGCUGAAUAUCUUCAGGAAAAUGGGUUCCAUGAGAAGUGACAUCCUCCUCGAAUCAAAAGGAAGAAUGACUUGGGCAAUACCAAAUGUUGAGUUAUCAAGUAUUUCGAUACCCAUAUGCAUCAUCUGCUGUAAGUAUUCUCAGGAUGAUGGAGUGAGUGAUGGAAUAGGUUGCCAACUGUAGUUACUCCACUCAGCACAGAAUGGCUGCGGGGAAAUAUAAUCAGACAUGCCCAAAGAAGUCUGCUUAGGGUGAAACAAAUACCUUUGAGGUUUAAAUCAGGAAGGAGAGACUGUUUCUACAGGUGUCAUACAAAAAUCAAUACUGAGCCAAGGAUUAUUGGAUCCCAUAGAACCACGGAGACUUGGUAGUGAAAUUCUUCCAAAGAUGGUGUUCCUAGGUUUGGAAAUAUAAAUCCCAUGGGAAGUCAGCUGAAGACCAUUUUAUGCAUCACUCAUCCUGUUAGAGCCCUGUGCUGUUCUGUCUCUCUAUAAGACUGGCUGAAACCACCACGGUUGUUUACAAUUUAUGCUCUAACUUUGGAUCACCUAGUUAAUACUCUAACUCCGAUUAUUACCAAAGACAAUGUUCUAUAAAAGAUAUUGUCUAUUAGAAGGAUGCUUCUGCAUUAUUAAUAAAAUCACAGGGAAAAUGCAACAUUUUGGAUGUCACAUCUGAUAAGUGGGUGACUGAUCGUACCCGCCAGCUGGCUAAUGUCAUAAUUAACAAAGUUGCUACUACAUCUGCAAAGUUUAAUCGAAAAAUUUGCCAGUGAUAUGAUGGCCUUGUCACAGAGAUCACAAGGGACACGGAGUUGACUUUUGCUCAAGGUGGAACGACAGAGCUGUGUAGGCAAGAUGAGAAAUUGCGAACUUGUUCGGCCAAAGGAGGCUAAUAAUGAAGGGGCCGGGAAGGAGGCCAGUGCUACCAGGGUUAUCUCACAACCUCAGAUGCUGGAUAAGUCGACGGAGGCAGAAUCGCUUUGGGAUGACAUUCAGAAAGCCUGGAGUGAUUACUUGCAAGAGAAAAGCCUACCUAUUCUUUCCAAGGUGCAGGAAUAUUCCCCUGACCUGCUCAUCCAGUGGUCCAGUAAUGAAUUACUGGAGACCUGCCUUAGACAAAGAAUGCACUCGGAGCCCCAACACACCUAAAGCCAUGCUUUGAAGGAUCUGCCAAGCUCACUUUUAAUCAUGAGAAAGAAAUUACCCACACGGAGUCAGCAGAAAAUGAGAAAGUAGAGCUCGUGCUGUGAAUAAUUCCAGCAAGUGCCAAGGGGCUAGUUGAGGAAUGGCUUCAUGAGAUGUUAGUCUAAAACAGCACCUUGGAUCUAAGCAGCACCUUUGAGAAAGAAAAGACUGCUUCAAGAAUGUCUAGUUGCACCUCCUUUCCGUAUGUGGCCUAAAUGCCUAGGUUGGAUCAAUAGUUUAAUUUUUUUAUUGAACUGUUUAAUAUUGACUAUGGACUUACAUUCACUUUUACUGUUUUCUGUAUAUUUACUUUUGCUUGAAGUGUUUUAAUAUUGACUAUUUACCUCUGCUCAUUUUUAUUGAUUUUCUGUAUUUUUUCAAUGAAAAUUAUAAUAAAAAUUAUUUUUGUUA